rnacentral:tRNA from 1 species
GGUCCCGUAGCUUAAGUGGUAGAAGCGUCCGCCUCAUAAGCGGGUGAAAAAGGUUCGAGUCCUUUCGGGAUCACCA